GGAGUUGUAGCUCAGUGGUAGAGCACUCGCCUCGCACAUGUGAGGCACUGGUUUUGAUCCUCAGCACCACAUAAAAAUAAAUAAAUAAAAUAAAGGCAUACUGUCCAUCUACAACUAAAAUGUUUGGAAAAAAAAAAAAAGAGGGGUUAGUUGUGGCUCAGAGGUGCAGGGCUCGUCUAGCAUGUGCGAGGCCCUGGGUUCAAUCCUCAGCACCA
rnacentral:tRNA from 1 species